CAGCAGCACACUGUGGUUUGUACGGCACUGUGGCCACGUCCAAACCACACUGUGGUGUUAGAGC
ensembl:miRNA